rnacentral:siRNA from 1 species
AUCGAGUUAAACAUUGCUGGUCGU